CUCAACAAGGAAAAAAUCGCACGCCGCCACUACAAGAUGAACAUGAAUUCGCAUCUUCUAUUUUUAUUUCUUGCUGCCUUUUUUAAGGGGUCGGUUGAGAUUUCGCCAGCUUAUCCAGUUGGAGUAAACCGCCCACUGUUUCACCUUAGUUUCCCAGAAGACGCCGGUGACAGACAGAGCAUCUUGCGUUUCUUCGUCCCUGGCGACGUUUUGAAUUUCAAGGUGGGACAACCAAGGAAUGAACGACAUACGAUUGUCUCUGAGCCGAUGGUGAGAAGAAAUAAAACAAUAACAAAACGGCGCUGUUUCGAUGUCAAAGACAUAUGUUGUUGGUGGCAAAUCUGUUAGAAGGUGAAGCAGUUGAAGCAUUGCCAGUGAAACAAACAUAAAUGACUAUUUUUUUUAGUCUGUUUACCUACACAAGUGUUGUAUUUCCUGUCUGACACAUACGAACCGGAUCCGUUUAUCUCCAUGCUGCGCACUUUGACUUCUGUGGAAAGCGUCCAAAUAGAACUCAAUUUGAAACGUUUUGGCCUUCGUUAUCACGUCAGUUCUUUAAUGAGAAUAUAAACCUACUACUUAAAUACUUCCUGUUAUUGUUGUUAGUCUGCACUAUGAAAUACGAUUUUUUGGAUCAUAAUGCCAAAAUUACACGAAUACUUUGAAUACUUUAAUAUGCAGAUAUUAAUUCUAUUCUGCCUUAAAGAUGUGCUAUUGAUUUAUGUCCCUCUGACUUAUAUCCCAUUAUAAGCCUCAGUGUUAAUUUUUUUCCGAGAAAAAAAUAAAGAUCGUCCAAUAAAUCUUGCAGUGUGGUCAAACUGAAGACUUGUUUAGCAGACUGCCUGGCAAAUUUGAAUGAAUUAUUGGUAUUUAUAGGUAAAUUAAAGGUCCUUACCACUGGCGCACUAUUAUUUCAUCGUCUCUAUUAAAAGACGAUGACGAGCGGUGUCUAUGUGGUAUCUUGCUGAAUAGCUAAGCAACGAUGUAAUUUCCUUUGAAAAGAUCAUUAAUAAAUGUACGUGCACUG